GAAGAGCCAUAACCAAAUAGUGAUGUCAUGGAUAAGUAAAUGCACUGGAAUUCAAACACAGCUUACAUGUUUUGCCCUUAAAAGUGCACAAGGUUACCGAUUUGCUCACCACUGGUAUGUUUGGCUCCUCAGACAAAGGUGGUUUGCAAAGGAAAGUUUGUCCGUUACAAUCUUAACCAACAGAAUCCUGUUUUUUGUGACACUUCAUUUUCAGCUCUUUGAUGACAGAAUGGACAACCCCAGGGCCUGGGACUCAUCAGCUCGGGGGCUGAUGAGUCCACUCUAGGAUGGUGGAGAGGAUAAGUCUCUGUGGCCAGGACCAUAGAAUACUUUUUCCAUAGGGUACAGCACCUCUGCUCUGGGGUCGCGAAACCACACUCUGGGCUGAACUACAACAGGAUUAUAGUAACCUCGAAUGGCUGCUUUCUCCGAGUACUCAAACUGACCAGGGGCUACCAUUACAUUUGAUCGAGGCGCAGAAUUCUCGACCUGCUCAAAGUUGGGCUUGUGGCUGCUAACAAGUUCUCCCUUGGGAGUGUAGACAGAAUGCCUGACAGAGGAGUCAGCCAAACUGGGAUCAGAACCGUGAUAGUUUAAUGUAGACGGUUUGGGUUGAAAGCCUCUGGCAAAGACUUGUCCAUAGGCCCAGUCAGUUGGAUGGCCUAUGGCGUGUUGGUCGAAGAUUGUAAGGGACAAACUGGGUCCUAAGGAGGUCCAAACCCAGGGCAGCUGCUCAGGCUAGUGAAAAGACAGCAUCAAAACAGAAAUGCUAGUGUAAGUAUCUUACGCCAAAAUAUGACAUUAAGCAACUACAUUGAGGACAUGCACAGAGUACCUCUUGCCAUGUUGUCACACCAGGAACCUCCAGCAAAGACAGUGCCAAUCAAAAGGACACUGCAAGAGAUAAAGACAUUCAAUACAAAUGCAUGAUCUAGGAAGAAACAUUUUUAAAGAGCCACAAAUUUUACCUUAGAUAUAUGGGCAGAGGUCGAUGCAUUGUUUCAGUGGUAUCGACCCAAACAACCUGAUGACCAAAUGAUUCAAGCACCUUACAACCUCUUGACAUGCAGCCACUACCCUGCCCUUCUUGAUGAACUAAUUAUGAACAGCUGGUUGUCAUGGAGACCGAACCCAAACAUUUCAUGUACUCAACCAUUAGGCAAAUUGCUUCAUUACACCAGCUGAUUAGAUAGAAAUGUCUGCUCAGCAGCAGUAUUGUGGUGGUUUAACCCAUCGAUAUUAAACAGUGUUCUAUAUAUAUGUGGUUUAACCGUCCAUUUUUGUUGCAUGCAAGUUUUUUUUAUUUUUUAUUAUUA
rnacentral:lncRNA from 1 species